GACUCUCGACAACGGAUAUCUCGGCUCUCGCAUCGAUGAAGAACGUAGUGAAAUGCGAUACUUGGUGUGAAUUGCAGAAUCCCGUGAACCAUCGAGUCUUUGAACGCAAGUUGCGCCCGAAGCCAUCCGGCCGAGGGCACGUCUGCCUGGGCGUC
rnacentral:rRNA from 11 species